GCCAUGCCGCGUGAAUGAUGAAGGUCUUAGGAUUGUAAAAUUCUUUCACCGGGGACGAUAAUGACCGUACCCGGAGAAGAAGCCCCGGCUAACUUCGUGCCAACAGCCGCGGUAAUACUAAGGGGGCUAGCGUUGCUCGGAAUUACUGGGCGUAAAGGGAGCGUAAGCGGACUGUUUAGUCAGAGGUGAAAGCCCAGGGCUCAACCUUGGAAUUGCCUUUGAUACUGGCAGUCUUGAGUACGGAAGAGGUAGGUGGAACUCCGAGUGUAGAGGUGAAAUUCAAUUAUAUUCGGAAGAACACCAGUGGCGAAGGCGACAUACAGGUCCGAUACUGACGCUGAUGCUCGAAAGCGUGGGGAGCAAACAGGAUUAAAUACCCUGGUAGUCCACGCCGUAAACGAUGAGUGCUAGUUGUCGGCAUGCAUGCAUGUCGGUGACGCAGCUAACGCAUUAAGCACUCCGCCUGGGGAGUACGGUCGCAAGAUUAAAACUCAAAGGAAUUGACGGGGGCCCGCACAAGCGGUGGAGCCAUGUGGUUUAAUUCGAAGCAGCGCGCAGAACCUUACCACCUUUUGACAUGCCCGGACCACCAGAGAGAUCUGGCUUUCCCCUUCAGGGACUG
rnacentral:rRNA from 1 species